AUGCCUUACACAUGCAAGUCGAACGGCAGCACGGGGCAACCUGGUGGCGAGUGCGAACGGGUGAGUAAUAAAUCGGAACGUGCCCGGUAGUGGGGGAUAACCAGUCGAAAGACUGGCUAAUACCGCAUACGACCUACGGGUGAAAGCGGGGGACCGCAAGGCCUCGCGCUAUCGGAGCGGCCGAUUUCCGAUUAGCUAGUUGGUGAGGUAAAGGCUCACCAAGGCGACGAUCGGUAGCUGGUCUGAGAGGACGGCCAGCCACACUGGGACUGAGACACGGCCCAG
rnacentral:rRNA from 1 species